rnacentral:rRNA from 1 species
ACGGGUGAGUAAUACAUCGGAACGUGCCCGAUCGUGGGGGAUAACGGAGCGAAAGCUUUGCUAAUACCGCAUACGAUCUACGGAUGAAAGCAGGGGACCGCAAGGCCUUGCGCGGACGGAGCGGCCGAUGGCAGAUUAGGUAGUUGGUGGGAUAAAAGCUUACCAAGCCGACGAUCUGUAGCUGGUCUGAGAGGACGACCAGCCACACUGGGACUGAGACACGGCCCAGACUCCUACGGGAGGCAGCAGUGGGGAAUUUUGGACAAUGGGCGAAAGCCUGAUCCAGCCAUGCCGCGUGCAGGAUGAAGGCCUUCGGGUUGUAAACUGCUUUUGUACGGAACGAAAAGACUCUUUCUAAUAAAGAGGGUCCAUGACGGUACCGUAAGAAUAAGCACCGGCUAACUACGUGCCAGCAGCCGCGGUAAUACGUAGGGUGCGAGCGUUAAUCGGAAUUACUGGGCGUAAAGCGUGCGCAGGCGGUUAUGCAAGACAGAUGUGAAAUCCCCGGGCUCAACCUGGGAACUGCAUUUGUGACUGCAUAGCUAGAGUACGGUAGAGGGGGAUGGAAUUCCGCGUGUAGCAGUG